UGGUCUGUAUACGCUUGGCACUAUUAGGAAAUGUGGCCUUAUUGGAGGGAGUGUGUCAUUGUGAAGGUGGGUUUAAGAACAUCCUCCUAGCUUCCUAGAAGUUAGUCUUCUCCUAACUAUGAAGUUCUCCCUCAGAUGAAGAUGUAGAACUCUCAGCUCCCUCUGCACCAAGCCUGCCUGGAUGCUGCCAUGUUCCCGCCUUAAUGAUGGUGGACUAAACCUCUGACCCUGUAAUCCAGUCCCAAUUAAAUGUUGUCCUUUUUAUGACUUGCCUAAGUCAUGGUGUCUAUUCACAGCAGUAAAACCCUAGCUAAGACACAUUCCAUCCUGCAUCUGCUCCUAAAACAGGAAGGUAAAUGUGGCCCAUACAUAUACAGCCACCCAAUUAGACAAGAUGGAUGAAGCAAAGAAGUGUAGACCGACAGGAGCCAGAUGUAGAUCGCUCCUGAGAGACACAGCCAGAAUACAGCAAAUACAGAGGCGAAUGCCAGCAGAAAACCACUGAACUGAGAAUAGGACCCCCGUUGAAGGAAUCAGAGAAAGAACUGGAAGAGCUUGAAGGGGCUCGAGACCCCAUAUGUACAACAAUGCCAAGCAACCAGAGCUUCCAGGGACUAAGCCACUACCUAAAGACUAUACAUGGACUGACCCUGGACUCUGACCUCAUGGGUAGCAAUGAAUAUCCUAGUAAGAGCACCAGUGGAAGGGGAAGCCCUGGGUCCUGCUAAGACUGAACCCCCAGUGAACUAGACUGUUGGGGGGAGGGCGGUAAUGGGGGGAGGAUGGAGAGGGAACACCGAUAAGAAAGGGGAGGGGGAGGGGGAUGUUUGUCCGGAAACCAAAGAAUUAUUAUUAAGUAUUAAAUAAAUUAAAAAAAAAUAAUUCAAAAUACCUUCAGGAGUCCCUGAAACUGACCAGACUCACUAGCCCCCUCCCUACCAGAGUAAACAGCAAAAGCUGAGAAUCACUCUCCAAGGAGUGAAGUUGUGAUGCAAAGAAGACUCUAUAACAAGACAAGUUGCAAAGAAGAUUGUGGGACCAAACCAGCUGCCAGGAAGCAGAAACCAGACGAGUUACCUGAAAAAGGUUUAAACCAUGUCACUUGGAGAAGGCACUUUCCAACUGAUCGUGCUACCUGCAAACUGUGUACUGAGCUCCAGGUUCCCAACUUUGUGAGCUGUCACCCACGCCAAGGUAGGCUUUGGUGUCAUUUCUGUUGCUGUAAGAAACCCCUCACCUAUAUUUCUAUAAUAAACCCUAAUAAAAUUCAUUGACUGACCAAGUUGGUCUUUGACAGUAUCUGUUCACAUGGGAAAUAAAUGCUUAGUUUUAAGCAAAAGAUCAAAUUGAUACAAUUUAUGCUUUAAAAUAAUACUGUCUGUUGUACGAACAGUGACAAGAGCUGUGAUAAGAGAAGUUAAGAGCUAUACUUAUAAAGCUACUAUAAAUCUCCAGGGAAGAGACAAUGCUGGCCUGGCCUGGGAGGCAACUAUGGAAGUCAAUCAAUUCAAUUAUGCUUUCAAAAUCAUAGUUAAUGGGAAUUACUGCCAGAUUACAUUUACGUGUCAUCAAAAAAAAAAAGAAAGAAAGAAAGAAAGAAAGAAAAGAAAAAAAGUCAAGGGACUGGAGAUAUACAUAGCUCAGUUGUAAAAUCCUUAUCCAGAACUCAUAAGGUCCUCGGUUAGGUGUCCAGUGCUACAGAAACCCAGGUAUGGUAGCAUAUCCCUGUAAUCUCAGCACUUGGGAGCUGCAAACUGGAGGUUCAGAAGUUCAAGGUUAUCUGGCAAGUCUGAGGCCAGCCUGGAAUUCACAAUACUAGCAUAAUUACAGUUAUGAAGUAGCAACAAAAUCAUUUUAUGGUUUCAGCACAGCAUGAGGAACUGCAUUAAAGCGUCACAGCACUAGGAAGGUGAGAAGCUCUGCUCUAAAGUAAGGCUGAACGCUUACAGUGCACUACAGUGUGCAUUAUAAUGGGCCCUCUUCCUCUCUAACCUACCGAACAAUUUCCCCUUCACUUAUCAAAGUCAAUCCUUUCAACUCACCAAAACCAGGUGAUACAAUCCUACUUAGCUUGCUUUCCCUCUGCUCAGAAUGUUCUUCAUGUCUUUCUCAGGCUUAGACCUUCUAAUAUCACCUUCUCAAUGAGGCUUCACCUGAGCUUUCAAAAAUAUUAACUGCCCUUUUUACCCACACUACAUCAUCCUGGCUCUGCUCUUCAACAAUCACUUCCUUACAGACUUCAGCUAUGUCAUAUAUAUUAAUGUCUAUUCUCCCUACGAGCUUUUAAGUGCUACAGAAGUAGAAGAUCAGUAUUUUUUGCUACUGUGUUACAUGAGUCUAAGACCCUCUCUGAAACAGGUUGUUUCUUUUUUUUUUUUUUUCUUUUUCUUUUUUUCAGAGCUGGGGACCGAACCCAGGGCCUUACGCUUGCUAGGCAAGCGCUCUACCGCUGAGCUAAAUCCCCAACCCCAACAGGUUGUUUCUUAAGAAAAUAAAUUUAAAGAAAAUACAAUGAAAAGGCAAAGUCAAUAAAAAUUUUGUUACAAUACUAUAUGGAGAAGUCUGAAAUUGAUCAUGAAAAAUCAAUAUGGACCCUUAUUUUAAGAAAGGGACUGAACCAGUAUAACUUUGAAACACUAACUUUUCAAGUGCACAUAGAUGGGAUUUAAGGAUACUGGAUAAAGGACAAACCACAGGGAAGUAGUUCCUGUUCAAGCGCUUCAAACAGUGGCUCUUCCAGUGAUCGCCCUGAGGGAACGAAAAGCCUGAGAAAAGAAAGCAAGCUGUCUGCAGACAAAGGAAGGUGAGCAGGGCACUAAAAGUGAGACACAGAGAACACAGCAGGAACAGUGUCCCAACAGACACAGAGGAAAUCCAUUUCUGUAACCUGGGUACUGACAUGAAUAGAGACUAGUCACUAAACACUACUCCUAUUCCAUAGAAGAUAAAAUUACAAGUUUAAGAAGAUCUCUAAGAAACUGUCUAAAGUUACAGUUCCAAUUUAAGUAGACCAAUGUGACUGUGGCAAAUCUGUCCCAAGCCAAAGCCUCUUUCUGAUACAGCAUGUGCUUAGGAAUUUUGCCUUAAAUUUUCAUCUUUCUGAUAGCUUUUUUCUUAUCUUUAAACUGAGAUUGCCUGACAGACUUUUUUUUCUGAUCCACAUUUUAAUCUUAAUCUUUUUUUCUUUUAUUUGAUUUUUUUUAUUUACAUUUCAAAUGUUAUUCCCUUUCCCAGUUUCCCAGACAUAAGCCCCCUACCCUCUCCCCUCCCCUUCUUCUUUCUAUAAGGGUGUUCCCCUCUCCAUACACACACCUCCAACAUUCCCCUACACUAGGAGGUCCACCCUUGGCAGAACCAAGGGCUUCUCCUUCCACUGGUGCCCCAACAAGGCUAUUCUCUGCUACAUAUGCAGUUGGAGCCCAGGGUUAAUCCAUGUAUAGUCUUUGGGUGAUGGUUUAGUCCCUGGAAGCUCUGGUUGGUUGGCAUUGUUAUUCGUAUGGGGUUGUAAGCCCCUUCAGCUCUUUCAAUCCUUUCUCUAAUUCCUCUAAUGAGGGUCCCAUUCUCAGUUCAGUGGUUGCCUCUAGCAUUUGCCUCUGUAUUUGACAUGCUCUGGCUGUGCCUCUCAGGAGACAGCUAUAUCAGGGUCCUGGCCUGACAGACUUCUAACUCUGUGAACUACACAAUACCAUCCAAUGUGAAAGGACAAAUACGUUUUAGUCGUGAGAUGUUAAUUUCAGUUAACCAAAGUUAGUUCUAACAACAAGAACAUUGGAGAUUAAUGAUGUAGUGGGAACAGAAAAUAGAGAAAAAAAACCAAAAAAACAAAACCCAGAAAGGCAAGGCUGUCGCAGCAAGCAGUUUACAGAGCAGGCACUAACACGGGUGGGGAAGUAUUCUUGAAGAUCAGAUGCUGGAAACAGAACACAAACUGUAUAAGCCCUCCCAUCUUAUGCUUUACCUAUGAAAGACAGUGAAGCUAUAAAAUGUACUUCAAUGUAUCUGAAGUGCCACCGUGUGGUUAGAAACAGUAAAAACAAGCAACUGAAUGUUCCUUCAGAGGGAUAUUUUUAAAAUAUGCUGUGUAGUAAAUUAUCUACAGGUACUACAACUUACUAUGAGGAUGAUUAUUCCUUAUGCUCAAACGAUUAUUAACUAACCAUUAAGAUAAGCCAUAAGCGUAUUAAAUUGAUAUAACAUAUACAACAAGUCACAUUUUAGGUUCUGAGAUACCUAAGUAAAGAGUAUAGCUGUAUAUGGAAGGGAGGAAACAACUAAACCGUAAGUGUGACCCAAAUCUGCAGCAUAAAUAUUAGACCUGUGCUAGUAUGUAAUAAAUAAGUGUAUCUGUGAAAUGAACACUUAAAAUCAGACAUAUAGUACACUUAAAUAUUCUAAAAGUACUCACAAAAAGGUUCCAAUAAAGAACAGCUCACCUGUACUGUUUCGAUCAGACUUGCUGAAUAGAAAGGCAUGGCCACCAUGUACGUUAGGCUGCAGAAAUUAAACCAAACUGUAUCAGCGCAACAACGUAAGAUCAUUACAAUAAACUUCCAAGAUGUCUUAAUGUACUCACCUAAAUGCACAUUCAAACCUAAAGUGAUCUUUUUAAAUGUUCAACUAUCCUUUGGAACUAGUGAUUUUACUCAAUACAUUGAAAAAUGGUACUUUAUUGAAUAGACGGAUAUAAAAAAGUAACAAUAAUACAAAGACGAUCUGCCAAAAAAACCCAAAAACAGAAAACCUAGCUGUACCUUUAGCAGAGUGUAGGCCCCUUUGUGGUUAACUGUUCUGACAUCGACUUGCAUAUAACUAGUACUCCCUGAAAUGUCUCUGCGCCCUUUGAAUGAACAACUGUAUCAUAGUUAGAGUCUCCUGAUGGCCGGAAGGGAUGCUUUAUGUUAUCUACCUGUUAUCCUUUUCCACUUCUACAUUUCCAUCAGCAGAACUAAGCCAGCCUACAGCUAUAAGAAAAGUUCCCUUCUACCAUGAAAAACUAAUGUUGUAUGGCUUUCCAAAGCUGGUUCUUUAUCAGUGUGAUCACAUCACAACUUUGCAAGCCUGCAAACUAUAGUUACUUAAAAUCCUUUCAUGGGUGAGACCAACCUAACCAGUACCCUUAGGGGCCAGAUCCUAGUAAGUACUCACCUCCAAGGUUAAUGGAACAUCGGUAAGUAAUUAUGUGCUGGACUGACCCAGAGGGAGUCAGCAAGGUAGAGAACUUCUAAUUCUUCAGAUAAACGGGAUAACCUUUUAAUCCGUAAAGGUAGUUACUGAUGUAAAAUCACUAGUCCCUUUACGCCACACUGCAAUGUGACUGUCAUUUUGAGCUCUCUCUUCAACAAAUACAUACAUUCCUAUCUCUGAUAAGACACAGGUUUUUUUUUUUUUUUUUUUUUGGUUCUUUUUUUUUUUUUUUUUUUUUUUUUCGGAGCUGGGGACCGAACCCAGGGCCUUGCGCUUCCUAGGUAAGUGCUCUACCACUGAGCUAAAUCCCCAGCCCAAGACACAGGUUUAAUACCCUAGAAAUGCUCAAGACCACGUGUGUUUCAGAUUUGGGGAUAUUUGCAUAGAAGUAACGAGAUAUCUUGGGGACGGGACCUAAGUCUAGAUACAAAAUUAAAUCUAUGUGUUAUACUUUUUUUUUUUCUUUUCUUUUUUUUUUUUUUUCAGAGCUGGGGACCGAACCCAGGGCCUUGUGCUCGCUAGGCAACCGCUCUACCACUGAGCUAAAUCCCCAACCCCAUGUGUUAUACUUUUACACACCAAAAGUGACUUGGUGUUUUUGCACAGUAUUUUCUGUGUGGCUAUUUUCUGAUACCUCAUCCCUUAUUAAAUGGGAUUGAUCCAGUUAAAGAAAUUCAAGACACUUGGCAUGUCAUGUUGGUGUUCAAACUCUUCAGAAUUUGAUGUAUUUUGGAUUUCAGAUAUUUGGCUUCUUCAUAUUCAACCGUAACUUUUUGUUUUAACCUAGGUUAAAGAGCUGGGGAACUCACAGCUGGUGAAGCACUUGCCAUGGGAGCGUGAAGACCCGAGAAUGCUCCACAGCACGCAGUACAAAGCCAGGCACGGUAGCAUGCAUUUGUAACAUCGGUGCUGGGUACGUAGAGUAGGGUGUGCUGGCUGCUCUGUCUGAUAGACAGAGCACUCCAACUGAUGGCCUGAAACCAUACUCAAUUCCCCACAUCUUCCCCCAGGAUACAGCCCGGUGGGUCAUCCUGAACUCUCCAUCCACACCUUUCCCUAAACCCAGGUUCUACAUCCAGUGCCCCUAGCCCAGUCUAACUAUCCUAGUCUGAGCCUCUGUGAAUCUGUAGCUUCCACCACAAAUGGCCAGAUACCAAGUGAUCGUCUCUAAAACAUAUACACAUAAGUAACAUUAUAUGGACCGACGAGGUCGUAUUUAUGUAUUCAGAAACACGAACAUACACCAACUAACAAGUAAGGAAAAAGGGCGAUGGGUUUGAAUGAAAGAAAGGUGGGGGAUGCAUGGGAAGUGUUGGAGAAAAGGGAAGGGGAAAUGAUGUAAUUAUAUGUAAUUAUAAUCUUAAAAACUGGACCAUGAACUGGGCAGUGGAGGUACACGCCUUUAAUCCCAGCACUUGGAAGGCAGAGGCAAUGGAGUUCAAGGCUAGCCUAGAAUACAGAUCAAGUUCCAGGACAGCCAGAACUACACAGGAAACACAAAGGGAAUGGGGGAGGAUCUCCAUGAAAGGGAACUGAAGCAUUUGGUGGAAAUAAAUUUUUAAAGAAAUUAAAAAAAUACUGUUGGUGGCUCCUGAGGACACUCUGGCCUCCGCAUGCACACAAGUGGAUCCAAACACGCAAACGCACACAUACUCACCCCGCCCCUGAAGAAAGAACAAAAGAGAAAGGAUCUAAGCUGAGCCAAGACUCUUAUCUUUCAAAUGCUUAAAAAUUAUUUUAAGCAGCAUGUGUAUUUCAGGAUUGCUUAUUGCUGCUGCUGCUGCUGCUGCUGCUAUCACUAUUAUUAUUGUAGUUGUUGUUGUUGUUGUUGUUGUUGUCAUUAUUAUUAUUCCAUGUGUAUUUCAAGACUUACCCCUAAGCCUUUUAUUACUUAUUCUCCAAAACUCUAUCCUAAUACUCUAACCUCCUUGACUAUAUUAGGCAUAAGAAUUUUUUUUUCAGUUCUAACACUAAAAAGCUAAUAAAACUUUCUAGUAACAAUGUCAUUUUUAAAACUUACCAUUUCACUCCCCUUCUCCUCAGAAAGGGAAAAGGCGAUGGGACCUUUUAAAUAAAUAAAAAUAUUAAUUUAAAAAGCUUACCAUUUCAGGAGAAGGUGUUCACCUAUUUGUUUAGGGUUCCAUUUCUGUGAAACCUCCCUAAAAUGCAAAAAUAAAUGUAAAUAAAACAAAACUACAUUACUUGAAACAUUUUGUUUUAGUCUGUAAAAUGGGUUUUCCUUCUAGACAUACUUCUGAUACUGUGGUUCAAAGAGUCAGUGAGUGUGUCUGCUGACAGAGGCUGCAGUGAUGGUGACAUGAUGGCUACUCCUGUGUCAGAGUGACAGGUAAGAAGGCCCAGGAGACAAGCCUCCAGCCCUAACUGUGAGGAGGUUUCAAGACUGGGUGGAUUCAUGGCUCCUGACUGAAUGAAGAAGAGAAAGUUAGCUGUGCAGCAGCACCCUCUGCUUACUAAAACCGUGCAGGGAUAGAAUUCUUUCAUCAGAAAUGCUCCGGACAAGAUGUGUUUCCCAUACAUACCCCCUGAUCAUAUGGCUCUGGGACUUUGGAACCGGUCUGUCUACUCCAAUCUCCCUUCUUCACCUCUCUCCACAUAGCUAACUUUACACUUUCAUUGUUGUCGCCUAUGGUCCUGAAACUUAAUUGUAGCCAGAAGCUGAACCACAAAUAUUAUCACUGCAGUCACUGAACUUUUGCACACUACUAAACUGAAUGCCCUGCACUUUGCCAACUUUUUUAUAGAUCUCUGUGUAUGAGGUGGGAAGCCUCAAAGAGAGAGAGAGAGAGAGAGAGAGAGAGAGGACACACAUGUGCACUUUCAAGCACACCCUGUGACAUAAAAAGCAGUAACAGAUUAAAGUUGGCCAAGCACAGACGUUCAGUUUUUAGAAUACGAGUCAAGAGGACUUGGCUGGCUGCUAACCUUUAGGAAAGCUGUAAUAAGGGAAUGCUGAGACUACACAGUCCUUUGAGGGCAACACAUGGGAAAAAGUGUUGCUCUUAGCUCUUGCCUUUGUUUCUUUCCUUACAAAGAUUAAAUCCCAACACUGAGUACAUGUGCAACACCAGUUAGACCUUCAACUUACUCCCUUCUUAGCAAUCAGGAUAACGUAUCCUUUAGAUAAAUAACCCAGAACUUUCCAAACCUUUAACACUAUCCGUGAGUUCAUUCAGAAAAAUACACUACAGAAAACUGGUCACGCCAAAGAGUAGCCUACAAAUUACAAUUGCUCACUACCCUAUCAGCAUCCCUUUCAUGUCUGGUCUGAGCGCCUUGCUGCCAACAGCCGUAACUGUAGGACACUCACAGCGCAGUUUUCUUGGGGCUUUCGAGUCCAGUGCUGUCUUUCCUGCAACAAGUAAUGGCUGCAUCUGACUGCAGAGAAGACACUCAGCUUCCCUACGUUGGUCUGCUCUCUCUCUCCCAGAGAUCGACAACUGAGUCUGUCAUGAACCUUCCCUCUAGUUGUUAAGGGUAUCACUACCUCUACCCUUCACGACUGCUGUCACCGCCCCCACACCUCACAUAUGGUACACACAUGUAGGCACACAAGUUGUCCAGGAUCUAUCCUUGUUACGUUUCAUAACUUGUGAUCUACAAUUCUCCUAGUUGAAUUUCAUUGAGUCUCACAGUCUGAUACUUUACGCCCCAAUACUCAAAGUUAUGUGUACAUUAAGUAACUUCUGUGGCAUCCUGAUCUGCAGUUCCAGCCCCCUUCCAGAAAUGGUCCCCUGUGGUGGCAUGAAUGAGAACAGCCCCCACAAGCUGAUAGAUUUGAGGAUUAUAGUGUGGCCUUUUUGGAGGUAUGUCACUGUCACUGGGUGUGGGUUUUGAGAUUUCAAAAGCCCACAGCAUUUCCAAUGAGCACUCUUGCUCUCCCUAAGCCCACAGCAUCUCCAAUGAGCACUCUCACUCUCCCUCACUGCCGCAUACUUGGGGGUCAGACAUAAGUUCUCAGCUACAGGUAAAGCACCAUGCCCACCUGACUCUGGCAAUGCUGCUGCCGUGAUGAUCAGUCUCUACUACCCUCUGGAACUGUCAGCCCCAAAUUAAAUGCUUUCUUUAGUAAGUUACCUUGGUCAUGUUGUCUCAGAAAAGUAACAGAAAAGUAACUAAAAUAUCCCCUACAGGUCUGGCAAAAAUCUUAAAUCCAUUUAUUGAAAGUUAAAUUCCUUAACUACUUCUCUAACGUAUUCUUAAUGAAUUCUCCACCUUGGUUAGCAUUUCUAUUUGAAAAAAAAAAUCUCAGCCACUGCUGGCAACUCUCUUCCUGAUACUUCCAGUUCCAAUCUAACAGCAACUAUCAUCAAUUAUACCUAGUAUGCCUUCCAACUCUGCACUAUCUGUUCUGGUCCAUAACUCAGAAUUGCCCCAACAUGGUUAAGAUUAAUAUAUUAGCUCUCUACAAGCCAGUAUGAACCAAUACUUCUGAUACUACCUCUUAGGAACACUGCUGACACUCUGUGAGACCAGGCGCUGCUGCCUUGUCUUGGAAGGAAAGCCCUUCCUGCCCAGACAAUUCUUACUCAUAAUUCUUAUCUCGAUUUUCAGUUACUUUUGAAACCCUUACCAAUAACUCCAGCUACAUAUGCCUGGGAAUCUUAAGUGGGUUAAUUGUACACAAAUCAGACAAUGUUUUAUAAGCAAAUGAGCUACAUAAAGAGGAGGUUAAUUCCUCACUCCUGCUUCCCACGGGGCUGGCAUCGCUGGUGCACAGCAGCAGGAAUGAAAGGCAGGUCAGCAGACAGUAGCAGGACACAGAGCACCCUACCACACACUUACUCCGCAAGGUAUAUAAAGAAGCUUGUGGGUGGGUGGGAGGGGGAGCACCUCAUAGAAACAGGGGGAGGGGAGGAGAAGGGGCAAAGGGGGUACUGGGAAAGGGGAUAACAUUUAAAAUGUAAAUAGAUAAAAUAUUCAAUUAAAAAAAGUUUAAAAAAAAAGAAGAA